AUACGGAGGGGACUAGCGUUGUUCGGAAUUACUGGGCGUAAAGCGUACGUAGGCGGAUCAGAAAGUAUGGGGUGAAAUCCCAGGGCUCAACCCUGGAACUGCCUCAUAAACUCCUGGUCUUGAGUUCGAGAGAGGUGAGUGGAAUUCCGAGUGUAGAGGUGAAAUUCGUAGAUAUUCGGAGGAACACCAGUGGCGAAGGCGGCUCACUGGCUCGAUACUGACGCUGAGAUACGAAAGUGUGGGGAGCAAACAGGAUUAGAUACCCUAGUAGUCC
rnacentral:rRNA from 1 species